rnacentral:rRNA from 1 species
AUACGUAGGGGGCUAGCGUUAUCCGGAAUUACUGGGCGUAAAGGGUGCGUAGGUGGUUUCUUAAGUCAGAAGUGAAAGGCUACGGCUCAACCGUAGUAAGCUUUUGAAACUAAGAGACUUGAGUGCAGGAGAGGAGAGUAGAAUUCCUAGUGUAGCGGUGAAAUGCGUAGAAAUUAGGAGGAAUACCAGUUGCGAAGGCGGCUCGCUGGACUGUAACUGACACUGAGGCACGAACGCGUGGGGAGCAAACAGGAUUAGAUACCCUGUGAGUCCACGCCGUAAACGAUGAGUACUAGCUGUCGGGGGUUACCCCCCUCGGUGGCGCAGCUAACGCAUUAAGUACUCCGCCUGGGAAGUACGCGCGCAAGAGUGAAACUCAAAGGAAUUGACGGGG